GCCUGUCUUACUAAACUCCUUCUCAUUUCCAUGAAAAUAUGAUGGAGGACAAGAUGCUGAGUGGUUUUGAUCUGGAACAAUGAAUAUCCUUUAUUCUAACCUGGGAAUUUAGCUCAGGAACAGGAACUUUAGGGCUGCAAUCAGGAUUCCAAAGGCAUUCAAGUGCACAGUUAGUUUCUGUUACUCAACACUGUUCCAUAUCAGUGUUUUAUUUUCUUUAUUUCAUCUUGGCUUUGUUUUGGUUUAUCCGAUUUAAUUUCUCCAAAAGAAAAUAAGCCCCAAACCUCCCAGUUAAUGCAUUGAGUUGACAUUAUCUUAUUGGAAAUGACAGUCUGACCACUCAAUAGCCCCAAGCCCUGGCAGAACCCUCAAAUCCUGGACAUCUCAGUGGGAGCAGGAAAAAGAACAUUUAAAAAAUAACUUCAUUUAAGAAAUGAAAUGAAGAAUUCUUUAAGAAGAGGUGAUCCCUUAAAAGUGGAGAGGAGCUCUCUUGUUUUAGUCCAACCAUCAGAAGAAAAGGGAUUAAAGCCACCACACAGCAUCAGAUCUGUCUCUGAUACAAACAUCCAUUUCAUGGGAGAUAGAGCCAAAGACUGGACUCCGAGCUUACAGCAGCCAUUUGGAGCUUCUUAAGGACAGACAGCAUAGCCAGAAGAGGAAGAACAUGUCCUUUUAAUUUAACCUGACCUGUGAUCAGCAUGGUGCCAUCUCCCCUCAAUUUGGGCCAAUGAGAGAACAAAUUGUCGCCUCCACCACUUUCUUUGCUAUUUUAGACCCUUCAAUUUGCUGAAAUAAAAACAUUUCACAUCAACUGAACA
rnacentral:lncRNA from 1 species